rnacentral:tRNA from 2 species
CGCGGGAUGGAGCAGCCUGGUAGCUCGUCGGGCUCAUAACCCGAAGGUCGUUGGUUCAAAUCCGGCUCCCGCAACCA